rnacentral:lncRNA from 1 species
UUCUUUGUAUUUUUGUGGAGUUCUGAACUGAUUCAGGGUUGUAAAACCCUGUAAAUCAUUCGAUCCAGUAAUACCACUAGUGGUGCUGUAUCGCAAAGAAAUAAUAAAAAAAGUAGAAAGGACCUAUGUAAGAGAGGAAUUGGACUUAAUCUGCCAGAAGAACAGAAAGAAGCAGAUCUGACAAGCUAGAAAAUUCUGCAGAAACGGGAAGGGCUGGAAGGAGAGAGAAUUCUGGGGAAGCAGAGGAGGUGAGCUAGUCUGGACAGUUGGAAAGAGUCUUCUCCUCUAUGAGAAGUUACCAGCAAGGUGGACUGGUUGGAUCUCUGAGCCAGCAUGCAUCACCCCCUCUCAAAGCUUGACCCAAUACUCCAAGAAGACAAUCAAAUGAUUAGGACUUCAACUGAAACUGUUCACUAGAAGAAAGAUUUUCUCCAGAUCCCCUAAAGUCCUGAACUGGUUACAGUUGCCAAGGCAGUUAGAGCCAGAACUUCUUCAUUAACUGACCCAAGGGGGGCAUAACAACAAAGUCUCAUCUGCCAGACUUUUGGAAGAAGGUGUUUCAGUUAUUCUAGGGACCCCAUGCUGCCUCUUCCUUCUGCCUCAUUCCUAAUCUAAUCUGUCCUAUCCCUUGCCUUGUUCCCUUAGAAUAAAAGUUUAAUAAGAACAAGUGACUGACUCCAUCACAUCUAGAGAGAGACUUGAAGUUGGGGGAAGGGAAGUGACAUUCCUCCCCUCAAGGAGAAAGAAGCUAACUGUAUCAAGCUUGUUGGUUAGCCAAUGUCUCUGAGUGGCAAAGGGGAUAUGGAAAUUGAGGGGAUGUCCAUCAACUGGGUGAACAAAUUGUGGUACAUGUUGGUAACGGAAUAUUAUUAUGCUAUAAGAAAUGAUAAAGAAAAUGAUUUCAGAAAAAUAUGGAAAGAUCUGCAGAAACUGAUGCAGUGUGAAAUAAGUAGAAUGAGGAGAACACUGUACACAAUAACAGCAAUGUUGAACAUUGGUUAUCUGUGAAAACUUGGCUACUCUCAGCAAUGCAAUGUUGCCACAAUCCUGAAAGGGAAUGCUAUUCACCUGAAGAGAAAGAACUGUUGAUGUCUUCUUUCAUAUCAGUAUAUUUUAUUUUGUGGUUUUGGUUAUGUAUGACUUUGCUCUUACAACAAUGACCAAUAUGGAAGUGUGUUUUAUGUGACAAUAAAAUUGAGAUAAACAAAAC